rnacentral:lncRNA from 1 species
UCCGUAGUUAGCAGAAGCUGAUGAAAGCCACGGACUCACUUCCCAGAAAUACACAGCGCGCGCGCGCACACACACACACACACACAUCCCAUGUCAAAGGUUUACAAAAUGUCCAUGAACAUCCAAGGGCCCUCUAUGACUGUGCUGCCCCAUACGAUAGUGCACGUCCCGUGUGGCAGUUUCAGUUGAAUUAAUCUGAAAGAUUCAGUUUCUCAUUCCCACUGGCCACAUUUCAAGUGCUCUAGAGACAGAAUUUCAGGAAGUCCUAUGGGACAGCUCGGCUCUGAAACUCCACAGGCCUAAGGCUAAGGACCCCACCCCUUAAGCGAAGCCCUAUCCAUGUGGUGGCUUGUAACCCCACUGCCACUCUACUGUUGGCCGUCUUCUGUUUCUGUAUAUAGGCGGGCCGACGCACAAGUGGGGGCAGCGUAUGCAUAGGCCGGGUCCCCCAGCCCUCACCCAAAGCUCAUGCCCGGAGUCCAGAGGAGGGGCCUGAGGCUUGUGGCUCAGGAGCACUGAAUGACGCGUCCCAGGUCACACAGAAUAUGCCAGAGGGUUAUGGCGACCGGGCUAGAGUGGAUAGCCCUUGCAAUGCUCACGUGUAGCAACAUCCAAAGGUUCUUAGUGCAACGUCUGGGGCCAGGCUGGUGGACACAGGGGUGGUCACGCGCACGUCAGCACAGGUCUCCAGACCUGUACCGGCCCCCACCCGCGCCCCCCACAUGCUCUCCCUCUCUUUGCUCACAGCCCUGGGGUCCCCGGCCUCGUCCCUGGAGUCGCCAUAACCCUCUGGCAUAUUCUGUGUGACCUGGGACGCGUCAUUCAGUGCUCCUGAGCCACAAGCCUCAGGCCCCUCCUCUGGACUCCGGGCAUGAGCUUUGGGUGAGGGCUGGGGGACCCGGCCUAUGCAUACGCUGCCCCCACUUGUGCGUCGGCCCGCCUAUAUACAGAAACAGAAGACGGCCAACAGUAGAGUGGCAGUGGGGUUACAAGCCGCCAGAUGGAUAGGGCUUCGCUUAAGGGGUGGGGUCCUUAGCCUUAGGCCUGUGGAGUUUCAGAGCCGAGCUGUCCCAUAGGACUUCCUGAAAUUCUGUCUCUAGAGCACUUGAAAUGUGGCCAGUGGGAAUGAGAAACUGAAUCUUUCAGAUUAAUUCAACUGAAACUGCCACACGGGACGUGCACUAUCGUAUGGGGCAGCACAGUCAUAGAGGGCCCUUGGAUGUUCAUGGACAUUUUGUAAACCUUUGACAUGGGAUGUGUGUGUGUGUGUGUGUGUGUGUGUGUGUGUGUGUUGUGUAUUUCUGGGAAGUGAGUCCAUGGCUUUCAUCAGCUUCUACUAACUGCGGAAGAUGUCAGGACCUGCAACUUUAUGGCUUUGGCAGAAAGGAAGCAAGGUAAGGGAGGUGAGUGUGGCUUCUGGAAACCACUGGUGUUCCUUCUUUCUGCUUUUGCCUGUCCUCAGCUGUGGAUGGCUUCUCGGCAUUAACUCCUAUGAUUUUGACUUCUUCAUAGUUAGUUAGGACCCCUAGCCUCGAGGUCAAUGGUGUUAAACUGAAACUGUCAUACAAACUGUUUAAUUUUUUUAAAUAUUUCUUUUCUUUAUUCAGUAGAAGGAUGAAGCGACCAGUAACAGAUUGAGAGAAUUGAAAAAACCUACUGUUUCAUGUCUUUCCUUACUAUUACUCAGAAUACUCACACUUUCUGAAACCAGAUACGGUGUGGUUUUCCCCCUAGCAAGCAACCCCGUCUGGAACCAGCUGAGUAUCCUACAAUUUCACUCAAUUCUACAGCAUCCACCCAGAGAUGGCAUUAUAUCUCAUGGGUUGAGGGCUAAUACCUGUAAGACUGCUCCAGUCCCAUUUCAGAUACUAAUAGCAAGUCCAGCAAAUCACCUGUGCUUCUGACCAUUGGUUUAUCAAUUGGGGAUGCCAGAGACCCCUCCCCCUGGGUUUGACUAAUGUGCUAGAGUGGCUCAUAGAGCAUAGGACCAGGUCUGGGAGAGUCGUGAGCACAGGGGCUUCCGUCCCCGUAGAGUUGGGAUGUGUCACCCCCUCAGUAUGCGGAUAUGCUCACCAACCUGGAAGCUUCCCUAACCUGCUACUAUUCGGGUUUUAAGGCGGCUUCAUCACAUAUGCAUGAUCAAUCAGUAACUCCAUUUCCAUCUCUUCUCCCUUCUCUUGAUGGAGGUGGAGCUGAAAAUACCAAGCUUCUAAUCUUGGAUUGGUCUUUCUGGACCAGCCCAGAUCCAGGAGCAGAUCCAGAGUCCUCUCAUGAGAAUCAAAGAUAUUUCUAGUGCUCAGGAACUUCCAGAGCCCUGUGUCAGGGACUGGAGACAAAGACCAAGUAUGUAUUUCUUAUUAUAAAUCACAAUAUCAGAAAAAGAGAGAGAGAUUCAUCAUAAGGAAUUGGCUUACAUGAUCAUAGAGGUUUGUAAGUCCCAAGAUCUGUGAGUUGGCAAGGUGGAGACCCAGAAGUGCUGACGGUUUAAUUCUAGUGCAUGUACAAAUGCCUGAGAAGAGGGGAGCCAAGGAUAGAGUUCUUGUCCAAAGACCAGCCGGCUUGAGGCACAGGAAGAGCAGCUCUUCCAAUUUGAGUCUGAAGGUGGGAUAAAAGCCAAUAUCCCAGCUCAAAAACCAUUAGGUAGGUAUUUUUUAUUGGUGUUCAAUUUUCCAACAUAUAGAAUAACACCCAGUGCUCAUCCCGUCAAGUGCCCACCUCAGUGCCCGCCACCCAGUCACCCCCACCCCCUGCCCACCUCCCCUUCCACCACCCCUAGUUCGUUUCCCAGAGUUAGGAGUCUUUCAUGUUCUGUCUUCCUUUCUGAUAUUUCCCACUCAUUUUUCUCCUUUCCCCUUUAUUCCCUUUCACUAUUUUUUUUAUAUUUGGGUCCAAGAUUAUAGCACCCAAACCAAUCAACCAACCUGAGCUCAGCUUCUUGUUCUAAGAUGCCACAUCCAGGGGCACCUGGGUUAAGCGUCUGACUCUUGGUUUUAGCUCACAUCAUGAUGUCAUGGUCGUGAGAUCAAGCCCCACAUCCAGCUCCAUGCUCAGUGGGGAGUCUGCUUGGGAUUUUCUCUCUCUCCCCCUCCACCCCUCUCUAAAAUAAUACUAUAAAUGGCAUAUCUACUCAAAAACUUGACACUGAAGCUCUGCUCUCUAUAAUUUGGUCCCUGUCCACUUGUCAUCUGCUCAUGAAAUAAGCAGUUCACGAGCACCUGCUCAAUACCAGAUAGCAUUCUAGAUUCUGGAGGCUCCGGAGUGAUGUGACAAAAAGCUAAUAGGGACUAGCUCAUAGGUCUUGGAAUUGACAGGUACAGAAAGCAGAGUGGGUGGAGGGAUGGAAGUUGGAGUGGAACAGCUGGGACAGAAGGUGUAAGAAACAGAAUUUGUAACCAGCUACCACCCCAGUGGCUGCUGGCUUAACAGAGCAGAAAAUUUACCAUGGGUGGGCCCCCAGAAUGAGUAUGGGGACAAGGGAGAGAGGCAGCACAGAGCCUGGGGUUCACAGCAGCCCCAGAAUUAAAGAAAAGAUAGCUGCACCCAGGGAGAAAGUGCACUAAGAAUAAAGUUCACCUUGGGACGGCUGGGUGCCUCAGUG